CCUACGGGAGGCAGCAGUGGGGAAUAUUGGGCAAUGGGCGCAAGCCUGACCCAGCAACGCCGCGUGAAGGAAGAAGGCUUUCGGGUUGUAAACUUCUUUUGUCAGGGACGAAGCAAGUGACGGUACCUGACGAAUAAGCCACGGCUAACUACGUGCCUGCAGCCGCGGUAAUAGGUAGGUGGCAAGCGUUAUCCGGAUUUAUUGGGUUUAAAGGGUGCGUAGGCGGAUCGUUAAGUCAGUGGGCAAAUUGAGGGGCUCAACCCCUUCCCGCCAUUGAAACUGGCGUUCUUGAGUGGAAGAGAAGUAUGCGGAAUGCGUGGUGUAGCGGUGAAAUGCAUAGAUAUCACGCAGAACCCCGAUUGCGAAGGCAGCAUGCCGGCUUCCGACUGACGCUGAAGCACGAAAGCGUGGGGAUCGAACAGGAUUAGAUACCCGUGUAGUC
rnacentral:rRNA from 1 species